rnacentral:tRNA from 1 species
GAGGGUAUAGCUCAGUGGUAGAGUGCAUGGUUAGCAUGCAUGAGGUCCUGGGUUCGAUCCCCAGUACCUCCA